GGAAGGGUAGCGAAGAGGCUAAACGCGGCGGACUGUAAAUCCGUUCCUUCGGGUUCGGGGGUUCGAAUCCCUCCCCUUCCA
rnacentral:tRNA from 1 species